UUUGCGUAUAUUUCGUUUUCGUUUCGUUGUUUUUUUUUUUUAAUUUACAAACGCCAAAUACAUAUACGUAAAACUACCAAAAAAAUACGAAUAGGCAUAAAUUUAUAUCACGAAGGUACUGUGGAUAAGAUACACUUUAAUUAUUUUGAAAAAUAGUAACCAGAGUUCAACAACUUUGAUUUUCCCCUCCUCACAAGCAAGUCUAGGGGCGGACGUGCCUGCCAAACUGAAAAGCAUGAUGGGGCAGUGUUUGACAGUUACGUUCGAAGAUGCGAACGGCAAUGGAAGUGGCAUUUCAUCGCUAUGUUUUACAAACGGUGGCGAAGCAUUAUAUAUGCUCUCCUCUUCUGAAUUGCAACGCAUUUCUCUAUAAGCCACGUAAGCUGUGACUCCACAAGGCGCCAUCGAAGUGGAAGAAUUGAUCAGCUUUGAACACACUAACACAACCGCUGAUAGAAGCAGUGUAAAUGAUGAGAACGAAGAGCACAUUGAGGCGACGAAUUCAACUUCCGCAACUCAUUCACAGGAGACUCUAUCGAGACUUGGCCAAAAACAUCUUGCAGUCGACACUGAAUCACAACUGCGAGGAGUCAGUGUAACCAAUGGUGAUAACUCGAAUAUGGAAAACAAUUCUCUAAAUCGUGGUAACGAAACAAUCACCAGCUCAAUGGGUGAUAUAACUGUAGACUCUGUAAGGGACCAUUUGAACGUUGUGGCAUUGUACCUUAUGUACGGCGACAACUGAAGAAAUUGUGGGUAAGCAAAAAUCAAUAGA